UACGUAGGGGGCUAGCGUUGUCCGGAAUCAUUGGGCGUAAAGCGCGUGUAGGCGGCCCGGUAAGUCCGCUGUGAAAGUCGGGGGCUCAACCCUCGGAUGCCGGUGGAUACUGUCGGGCUCGAGUACGGAAGAGGCAAGUGGAAUUCCUGGUGUAGCGGUGAAAUGCGCAGAUAUCAGGAGGAACACCAAUUGCGAAGGCAGCUCGCUGGGACGUAACUGACGCUGAGACGCGAAAGCGUGGGGAGCAAACAGG
rnacentral:rRNA from 1 species